CAGGAGCUGGUGGAGGUGAUCUCGAGGCCCUGGAGGGGGGACAGGAGAGAGACGCUUAACCCCGGGGUACUUUCGUCUGCUCCAGAUGCAGCUGGCAGCAGGGCGGGAGGCUGAGCCGGGGGGGCGGCUGCUGACCCCCCUGGCCCUGCUGCUGGCGGCUGCCGGGCUCUGCCUCUCCUUCUACAGCACCCGGAGGAUGGCCGGCCCCGCCAAGGCCCCCCCAGAGCCAUGAGGAGGGGGCUGGCAGGGCUUGUCCCCAGGGGGGUGCCGGGGUCCCCCUCUGCCCGCUGACCCCCCCUUAGCAGAGCUGCCAGCUGCGGCAACUUUCCAACUGAUCUGCGCCACAUCCAGCCCUUCCCUCCAUGCCUGGGCGGUGCAGUGCCCUGAGGCCAGGGUACACGCACCUCUGUCCCCCUGUCUGUCCCUGCAUUCGGGAGCCGAUUCAACGACCAGGAUGGAGAACAGAGAAGCCACCUCCCAGCUCCAGAGCUGCUGGCUGAACCCCUGACCGAGCCGCUGCGACACACCAGGAUCCAGCCACAAGACCAGAAGCUGAAAGGACAGACAGAAGGACGGUGGAGCCACAUGCUGCAGCCAUCUCCAUCUCCCCCUGCAAGCAGGGGAGCCCAGGGGGUCCCUUGCACCCCGCUGGCAGCCUCACAGCCCCCCCGUCCCUGUGGGGACCGUGCUACAGCCGUAGCCAGCCCGUCUGGUGGAAAGGAGGUCAGCACCGAGCGGGGAGGGCUGGGACCAGACCAGCCUCUUCAGCAGCGGGCAGGGGGGCAGGAAAUGGAGCCACGGGGUCAGCGAUAUGUC